rnacentral:tRNA from 1 species
AGUUAGUUGGCAGAAUGGUUAUGCACUGCUUUCAUACAGCAGAAGACAGUGGUUCAAUUCCACUACUAACUACCA